UACGGAGGGUGCAAGCGUUGUCCGGAUUUAUUGGGCGUAAAGAGCGUGUAGGCGGCUUUACAGGUCCGUUGUGAAAACUCGAGGCUCAACCUCGAGACGCCGGUGGAAACCGUAAGGCUAGAGUCCGGAAGAGGAGAGUGGAAUUCCUGGUGUAGCGGUGAAAUGCGCAGAUAUCAGGAGGAACACCCGUGGCGAAAGCGGCUCUCUGGGACGGUACUGACGCUGAGACGCGAAAGCGUGGGGAGCAAACAGG
rnacentral:rRNA from 1 species